rnacentral:lncRNA from 1 species
CCUCGUAAGGAUUUCCAUUUUAUGUUCUUGUCUUCUCAUCAGUUUGAGUUGUGUCUUUAACAUUGGAGAGAAAAACAACUUGCAAGAUUUUCUUUCAGUAUGAACCAUUCUGAGGUCCUUCAAUUCUUUAGCUGAUUACCAACUCCUACCACUGUUAACCCUCAUCCAGGAAAAAGCUUAUGUCUUUAACAUUCUGAGUGGGCUUCAGCAUCCUUGCAUAUGUUCAAUUCUUAAAAACCUGUUGAAAUAAAAGAUCAGGAGACAUAGGAAGGAUGCCAGAAGAGAGCGUGGCCUCAUGUGUACCAGCUCUCUGCUCUCCUUUGCCUUGGGACGUUCCAUCCCUGGAAGUUUCCCUGCCCACAUCUUUGUAGAGAGUCCAUUCUCCAAGCUUCAGUGUGUCAUCUGUGAGGACUGUGACCAACCUGGUACAUCGCCUCAGGGCAUUCAUUUCAGGCUCCUUCUAAAUGGUCAAGGUAAACCUCAGGUUCUCCUCCUGCCUUUUGCUAAGUAUAUGUCUUGAUGACAAGCCUUCUGCUGAUGAGCUGUGUUUCUGGACCGAUCAUGGUAGAAGUCAAUUAACGUGUCCCUCACUUGGGGUUUCUCAAGGCUGCACUGAUGAGGAAACUGAAACAGAAAAUCCAGAGUAAAUUCCACCAGGCCACACAGCAAGGUCUGAUAGAGCCAGGAGAGACUUUAUGAAAUCCAGACUCUCACACUAAUGCUCUAUCAGCUAGACCUCCAUGUGAGUCUCCCCAAUGUAGGUAGGAAGUGCUUUCCC